GGGGAUAUAGCUAAGUUGGUAGAGUGCUUGCCUUGCAAGCACAAGGCCCUGGGUUCGAUCCCCAGCACCA
rnacentral:tRNA from 1 species